rnacentral:tRNA from 1 species
AAUGUCCUGGCCGUCCCAUGUUGCGAUCAGGUCGCUCAUUUUUGUGACAUCCCGGUCUUUAAACGAAGAUCCGGCCU